CCUACGGGAGGCAGCAGUAGGGAAUUUUGCGCAAUGGGCGAAAGCCUGACGCAGCCACGCCGCGUGAUCGAGACGCCCUUCCGGGUGUAAAGCUCCUUCAGUGGAGACCAAACUUGACGUUACCCACAGAGGAAGCAACUGCUAACUCACUGCCAGCAGCCGCGGUAAUACGGAGGGUGCAAGAGUUAUCCGGAAUCAUUGGGCGUAAAGAGUGCGUAGGCGGCACGUAAAGUCAGGUGUGAAAGCCAGGGGCUCAACGUGGGAACGGAACUGGUUACUUGAGAGCUAGAGUGCGGUAGAGGUAAAGGGAAUUCCUGGUGUAGCGGUGAAA
rnacentral:rRNA from 1 species